UAGGGAAUCUUCCACAAUGGGCGCAAGCCUGAUGGAGCAACACCGCGUGAGUGAAGAAGGGUUUCGGCUCGUAAAACUCUGUUGUUAGAGAAGAACACGAGUGAGAGUAACUGUUCAUUCGAUGACGGUAUCUAACCAGCAAGUCACGGCUAACUACGUGCCAA
rnacentral:rRNA from 1 species